rnacentral:rRNA from 1 species
CCGACACAGGUGGUCAGGUAGAGAAUACCAAGGCGCUUGAGAGAACUCGGGUGAAGGAACUAGGCAAAAUGGUGCCGUAACUUCGGGAGAAGGCACGCUGAUAUGUAGGUGAAGUCCCUUGCGGAUGGAGCUGAAAUCAGUCGAAGAUACCAGCUGGCUGCAACUGUUUAUUAAAAACACAGCACUGUGCAAACACGAAAGUGGACGUAUACGGUGUGACGCCUGCCC